CCGGCCUUAGCUCAGUUGGAAGAGCAUGUGACUGUAGAUCACGGGGUCGUUGGUUCGAAUCCGACAGGCCGGA